ensembl:lncRNA
GUGAAUAACUUGCAAGCCCUCGGAGCCCCGCCUCUUCUGCUUCAGUCAUUCUAUUCUUCCCUGGAACCCCGCCCAGCCUUUGAAGCCGGAUCUGGGCAGUUUCCUUGCUACAGCUCCGGGAUUGGAAGGGCGUGGUCCUGACUCGGGAGCCGGUCCAAGUUGGGAAGAGCUGGCUGCAAGGAAAGGGAAGUGAUGACAGCAGUUCACCAUAGGCUUCUGUCUCAUGGGUGAGAGACCGUGGACCUCCAGCAUCCAUACGACUGCCUGACUUCCACACGAAAGAACAUAAUCAAUGUCUAGGAUAAAAGCAGCCACCCCAAAGCCAGGAGGAUUUAAAGACACAGGACCCAGGGAUAAACACAUGUCUGAUGCCUGGUGCAAUCUCUGAAAUGUGAACCACAGAGAGGACUGGUGGCCACGGGACACAGACGCACUGCCUAAGGCAUUUCUACUCUUAUGGGCUCUUCUCUCCACAAAGAUGGCAUUUGUCUGAGCACUUACAAAGAUUACUCACCAAGAAAGAGAUGCUGGGCAAAUCUCCCACCUUAGAAACCCCUGUCGCCUGCCUGGCUGAGCCCCUGCGUUGACACUUGUAUGGCUAUGACUCAGCCUUGGAACAAGGCUCAUUCCGCUGGAAAUCGCAGGAUCUUGCUUGAAAAGGUCGAGGCACUAAACUCAGGAGCUGUAAGCCCAGAUCCCUUCAGAGUCCAGGUAAGAGGGGAAGGCAGUAGAGCUAACAUUGAGGGGGUCCCUGCCGAGUCCAAGGGUUUCCCAGGUGGCUCAAUGGUAAAGAAUCUGCCUGCCAAUGGGAGAGAGGCAGGAGAUCAAGUUUGAUCCCUGGGUUGGGAAGAUCCCCUGGAGGAGGAAAUGGCAACCCACCCGAGUAUUCUUGCCUGGAGAAUCCCAUGCAUAGAGAAACCUGGCGGGCUAGUCUGUGGGGUUACAAAGAGUCGGACGUGACUUAAGGACUCAGCACACGUGUGCUGCUGAGCCCAGACCCUCUUGUACACACUUGGUUCUCUGAGUCCUCCCGACCACCCACUGAAACGAGUGGAGUCACACAUGGUCUGGAAGCCCGAGAGCCUUGCUUGAGGGUUAUAGCCUUGAGGGUUAUACAGGGCCUGCGAUCCAAAGAAUAUGGACCCGCCACCUAUAGUCAUCAGAACAUCAGAAACCAGCCCUGCGCGGCCAACAGACCUUAGCGCAGGAUGGAGACAAAAGGGCCUGCGCUGGGGCCUUGAGCAGCUAGCCUGCAACCCAGUGAUUAUUGUUUAAAAUUUUAAUAUUUUUCUCCUGUUGUAGAUAAGAAGAGGAAAGUUGGAGGGAGGUUUUCUUCCUCAGAAUCUUGCUCUUGGCUUUUAAGCGAAGACAUGGAGCGGUCUUCCUGUGCUACUUGUCCCCUGCACGACACGGGCUUUGAAACUCACGCGGUGACUGCCUCUCCCGCCGGGUCCCUCGGCCAGUGUGACAUCACAGGACACAAGAUACAGCUUCAGCCCUGGGCCACCACUACCCUUCAUAAACUCUGGAUUUUUAAUUGCACCAACUGUAUACUCAACCAAUCCCAUGAUGGCCGUCCCUCAAACCCCUCAGCGUCAACCAGAAGAGAUGAACCUGCACAAGGACCCCUCAGCAAAGCGGUCUCCCAGCCACACAGCACAGAGCUGGGACUGGAGCCAGAUGGGCCACCCAAACAGGAGAGGAGACCAAACAGCCACACCCUCCAGGAGGGGGCCCGCCAGCCCCCAGGCUGUGUUGGGGGCAAACAGAAUAUUCUCUCAGCCACUCCAAUUUGAGAAAUCGGGUGCUGACUCAUUAUUAACCCAGGAAGCCCACGCACUCAAAUGACUGUACUGAAAAAGCUCUGUCAUACCCUGCUUACUGAUGUGCAGAUUUUUAAGCAAAUUUGAAAAAUGUUUAUCAUAAGGUAUUUAUGACAUUUUAACCGUUUCAUUUACAGUAACCAGACGACAUUUGAAAAAAAAAAAGUUUCCUGUAUAUUACUUGACAGUAAAGCGAAGCUUUAUCAGAAUAGUAACAGCUUGAGAAACACAUAUCAAGGUCAAGUCAAGCCUCAACGACUCAGCAAC